rnacentral:rRNA from 1 species
UACGGAGGAUGCGAGCGUUAUCCGGAUUUAUUGGGUUUAAAGGGUGCGUAGGCGGAUUCUUAAGUCAGCGGUAAAAUGUCCGGGCUCAACCCGGGCCGGCCGUUGAAACUGGGGAUCUUGAGUGGGCGAGAAGUAUGCGGAAUGCGUGGUGUAGCGGUGAAAUGCAUAGAUAUCACGCAGAACUCCGAUUGCGAAGGCAGCAUACCGGCGCCCGACUGACGCUGAGGCACGAAAGCGUGGGGAUCGAACAGG